UCUCGUUUGGGAUACCUGUGUUCCUUGUAUCCAAGAUGGCGGACGAGCACAUCGCAAGAAAGCACUGGAGAUGUACUCUAGAAAGAGCCGAGAAAUUCGUCUCGAAGCAGUUCUUCUCGGAUAUUAACUUAUACAGCAGGCUCUACAGCAAUAAGGCACCUUUGACAGCUGUAACUCACUUUGCCGCACCAGGGCGUAUCACAUAUAAGCAGGCCAUAAGAGGAGAGUACAGCCCUGUAAAAGUUGGUGAUGCUUUUGGUCCUACGUGGUCAACACAUUGGUUUAAAGUGACUAUUGAUGUGCCAUCUGAGUGGGCAGAAAAGGAAGUACAUCUGAGAUGGAACUCUGGUUCAGAAGCAAUGGUGUGGAAAGACGGAAAACCUCUCCAGGGCUUGACGGGGGCUGAUGGACACCAAGAGCGUACUGAUUGUAUCCUCUCAACUUGCCAAGCCAGCAGUGAAAGGAGAUAUGUUCUAUAUAUCGAGAUGGCUGCCAAUGGGAUGUUUGGAGCUGGUCAAGAUGGUCUAAUAAAUCCCCCUGACCCCGCCCGGAAGUACUCACUCUCAAUGGCCGAAAUUGCUGUGUUCGACCCUCUCUGCUAUCAGCUGCUCACAGAUUUAAAUGUCAUCAUUGACAUGGCGAAGCAUCUUCCAGAAGGAAGCCCACGCUCAUUUGAUGCGCUCUACACUGCCAACAGAAUAGUGAAUGCUUGCGAUACAAAGGACAGGAGAACAUUUGAGAAGGCACACGAGAUUGCGCAAGAGUUUUUCUCCCAGCAUAAUGGCACCUCUCAGCACCAGGUCUACGCCGUUGGCAACUGUCACAUCGAUUGUGCUUGGUUAUGGCCUGCUGCCGAGACAGUGCGCAAAUGUGGGCGGAGCUUUGCUACAGCUGUCCAACUCAUGAAGAAGUACCCUGACUUUAAGUUCGCUUGCUCUCAGGCUCAGCAGUUAGAAUGGGUAAAGAUUCACUACCCAGGUCUUUAUGAAGAAAUCAAGAAAUUUGUCGCUAAUGGUCAAUUUAUUCCUGUUGGAGCAACAUGGGUUGAAAUGGAUGGGAACAUUCCAAGUGGAGAGUCGUUUAUCAGGCAAUUUGUUGUAGGACAGCAAUUCUUCAAAGAGGAGUUUGGAAUGAUGUGCAAAGAGUUCUGGCUGCCAGAUACAUUCGGCUAUUCAGCGCAACUCCCACAGAUCAUCACUGGUUGCGGAAUUAAGUUUUUUCUUACCCAGAAGUUAAGCUGGAGUCUGAUCAAUAAGUUCCCUUUUAGUUCUUUCUUCUGGCAAGGGAUUGAUGGAUCAAAAUGCCUGACACACUUCCCUCCGGCCGAUACGUACGAGUCAAGAGGAGACGCAAAAGAUGUUUUAAAGACUUCAAGUAACUUGAAAAACAAGGGCCGGGUGCAUGGGAGUAUGCUGUUGUAUGGUCAUGGCGAUGGUGGCGGGGGGCCAUCAGAAGACAUGAUCGAAAUGCUGAAGCGAAUGGAAGAUGUCGAUGGUUGUCCCAGAGUUAAACUCUCGAGUCCGCAUGAAUUUUUCACCGCUGUAGCAAAACGUGAUUCGUCGAGUUUGUGCACGUGGGUAGGGGAGCUGUACUUGGAGCUACACCAAGGGACAUUUACCACACAGGCAGAGAUUAAGUCUCUCAACCGUCGAGGGGAGUUCUUGCUUCAUAACGCUGAGCUGGUGACCUCACUUGUCUGGGCUCUCGGCGGGAAAACAGCAGACCUCUAUCCAAGUCAGAAACUUUUAAAGGUCUGGAAACUCUUUCUGCUUAACCAGUUCCACGACAUUCUCCCUGGUACCUGCAUCCGAGAGGCUAUAACGGAAGCUCUAGAAGCCUACGAAGUUGUGAAGUCUACUGCUACAGAAAUUUUCCAAGAUGCCACGCACAAGUUGAUCUCGCUGGCUUGCAAAAGUACCAAGCUGUCAGCCAAGCCUAUCAUUGUAAACACUCUUGGAUGGGCCAGAGACGAGUGUGUCAUCAUACCAGAUGCUUUGGUGCCCAAUCUCACGGACCGCGCGAUACACAGGCAGACCACGAGUGAUGGUAAAACAUUAGUUCGCUUGCAUGCUGAUCCAUACUCGAUUGGACCGCCGCAAACAGCAUCCAACGUGCCUGUUUCUGUCACAGAAAAUGAGGUUCCAGGCCAAGUGACCUUAGAAAAUGAGUUCGUCCGAGUAAGGCUGGAUGGAGUUGGUCGUGUUGUGUCCCUUGUCCACAAACCCUCCCAAAGGGAAGCUAUCCCAUGUGGUUCCCAUGGCAACCAGCUUGUCCUGUUUGAUGACGUGCCUCUAUUCUGGGACGCUUGGGACGUCAUGCCGUACUACCUCGAGACACGAAAACCAAUCGUUGAGUCGACGAAGCAGGAUAAUUGCUUACGAGUACUUGACCGUGGUCCUUUGCGGGCGUCUGUUGAGUUCUCAUUGAGGAUCAGUGCUAACAGCUCCCUGACCCAGCUGGUCACGCUUGACGCCUCACUGCCUUACGUGACAUUCAACACCAAGGUGGACUGGCACGAGAACCGUAAAUUUUUGAAGGUGGAGUUCCCUGUUGACGUGCAUUCAAUGAAUGCAACAUAUGAGAUACAGUUUGGGCACCUUCAACGCCCCACCCACUGCAAUACUAGCUGGGACUGGGCUAAAUAUGAGGUUUGCGGACAGCGGUGGUGCAAUCUGUCUGAGCACAAUUGGGGCGUGUCGUUGAUGACUGACAGUAAAUAUGGCUACUCUACCCACGGCAGCACCAUGUACAUAUCACUGCUGCGAUCGCCCAAGGCCCCGGAUAACCAGUCUGACAUGGGACGCCACCAGUUUGCUUAUGCCGUGUUUCCUCACAUAGGGUCAUUCCAGGACUCAGGUCUGAUCAGACAUGCACAGUGCUUUAACGAGAAGCUCCACGUCAUCUGUUGCAGCGUGGACGAGGGUUUUGAGAAGCAGUCGUUCUUCAGUGUUGACAACCCUGCGGUCGUGCUAGAAACCGUGAAAAAGGCCGAAAAUGUGGACGCGCUGAUUCUGCGCAUGUACGAAGCUUUUGGCGGGAAAACUCGCGCGCGGCUAACAACAAAACUAAACGUGACAAAAAUACAGAGGGUCGACCAGGCUACGUUUGUCGCCCACGUCAAGACGCAAGAAUCACAGACAGACCACGUAUAAAGGUCUCGCUAGUUGCUCAUCUAUCUACAACAGGCAACGUCUCACCGAAACCUUCAGGAUAGAUAACACAUUCACUGAAAAAACCUUGACGUCGCAGACGAAUCGAGGCAUUGUGCCGCUGACCUGGUGGCCUUGGUGGUUAACGUAUGACGCGAGACUCUUUGGAUCGUACGCAAGAUAAACUUAUAUAUUCUACGCCAAGAAAAGCCAAGAAAGGUCUUCUAUAGCCACCCCCAACGCCCGGUAACCGUCAGAUUUAGUGAUACACUUCUUGGAGUACUCUAGAUGCCACUAGAAAGCUCUAAAAGGCAAAGAAAUGGGCAGGGGUGAGAACGGGGGGUAUUCCAUUAUAGAAUUCUGUAUCUGCUCCUAAACUACAGUGACGUCACAAUAUGCAGCGACGUCACGACGACAGCCUUGAUCCCACGCAGAGGUGAGGUCUGGCUUUUCUGAAUGAUGUUACAGUACCGCGAACAAGUUUAAAAAAAUGAGUAUUAUUUUAGUAUUAAAUAAGGCAUGUACUCCAAUAAUUCAAUUAAAUUUAAUUACUUUAAUUAAUAUAUAACGAAAAAUACAGAUGCUGGUAUAUAUCCCUAUAAGUUAUAAGAUUCUAUUUUCCUUUUUGGGAGUUAUGAUACAGAUAUUCGCAAAAAGUUUCACUACGCAAACCAAGACGAAACCUGGUGUAAAAAGUGUAAAAUUAUCUCGCUAAAAGGGUUUAAACAGGUUGAAAACGUUGUUUACACCUUAAUAAUGUGAGAAAAUGUUGUCGGGCUUUUGUUAGACACUCAGCUUUUUGCCCCAAAAUGCAUACUAUUUCUGUAACAUUUUAGUUUCUAGUACACAACAAUAUUGUGUGAUUCCGAAAACUACCCUUAACCACCAGGGAGGGAAUGGGAGAUUUCGGCGGAUGAAAGAUGUUUGGAUUUUUUCUGUAAUCACAUCAAUUAGCAUUAUCCAUAUCUCAAUGUUUUCUAACGACCCUAUGCCUUCGUUCGAUUUGGUGUAGUGCCGGUAUAAUAGACGCUUUGCAUUUCUUGUAUUCAUUGCUCUCGCUGCCAGUUAUGACGGGUUUCCACGCACAGCUAAGUCCAUGCUCACCGCAAUACAGAUAGCCUUCGCUACAGUGCGAAUCCAGUAUAAGGCCGCCUGUAACAUCAAAUGGUUAUCAGCAUAUUUCGUAAGGGUUUCUCCUUCCUGACCCCCUCCCCUUACAGAUAAAUUUUGUGAAUAACUUUAGUACCCGCAGUGCUAUCCAAAAUAGCACUAAGCUUUUUAGAUUCCUCUUCCAACAUGGUUACAGGAAACAAGAUAGGCAACAUUUCCAACAUGAUCAUUUCGAUCAAGUGACGAGACUUCAAUCAUGGAAGGGAGGAAGCCUACCUGUAGGCUACGGCCUACGAACUCGCGAACUCCAUGUUUUCAGGGUUUUCGUGCCGGAAAAACGAUCAAAGCCUACAGGUAGGCUAAAGGGUAGGUAGCUCGAUAUUUUUAUCAUGCACAAACUUAUUGGUAAGUGGUCGUCUGUUAUUAUUGUCCUAGAUGCACGAUAUUCCCAUAGUGGGCGAAAUCAAGCAAAAUUCGUGCUCGUCUCGAUGACUUUUUGUCCAGGGCACGCUGUGAGUUUUUUUUCUAUUUAUUUUAGGAUAAGUAAACACAAUAUGUAUUUUCAAAUUCAGUUUUGUAAUAGCAAAAGAGUGUCUGCAUGAUCGACGCUUUUUAAUUUACCUGGCCCGAGAAAGCUGCAAGAAGUAACUCGACAUCGACAACUCUCCCCAUAGACGCUUUGCACGCCGAGCCUCUGCGCCUGCGUCACCUGUUGCCAUGGUGAAGUCCAAUGACAGGACGAGAUAAAAAGUUUCCCAUCAUCCACCAGGCCAGCCAACAGGUAGUCCGUACCAGCGCGUAGCCACCCUGGGCACGGCGAUCUAUCCGCGUAGAUCUGUUCAGAGACAUCUCUUUUGUGAGUAGACAUUUAUUGGGUUUGAUGAAUUUACCCGCUUUCACCGUCGCUCGCAUUACUACAAAGUGGAUACAGGGUUAAAACCGACGAUGAAUAAGACCGAUAGUCCUUUUUUUCUUUAAUAGCGGGUUUGUAAUCCCACCAGACCAACCCCUGCAUCCGACUUGACUUGCCACGCCGCUUCGCUGAAAUCGUUGUCGCCGCAAAGCUCGGAGCCUCUGGUACCCGGGGUAGCAUUGCACUUAUUUUCGAGUAAAUCUAACUUCUUGGCUACCAUUUAUAAUCACACAGCGAUCUGCUUGGAGACAGCUCUUUCGCACAUUGCAGAUUUCAGAGUGACUUUUUGUGCAAAACAUUCCAAUCACACAUGCACAUCAAAAAAAGAUUGACGGGGAUGUGCUAGGUUUAUAACAUAUUUCUACUAAGUUUGCCCUCGCGUGUGCAGGUGCGCAUUUGUGUGGGAGCGGAGGGAAAGACAAAAUAUUGCUAUUGAAUAACUUACUUUGACAUUAUGAACCAAUGGGUUGCCCUCCUCCGGUUGCUUAGCGACCGGUUUCCCUGCCUUGCUCACAAGCCCUGCACCCUUAAAAAUCUGCGUAACCAUGACAACGUGCACCAGAACGUCCCGCUGCUUGGGCCAAUGACGGAAUCCUCGGCUUUGCGGGGGGUAUGUGAUGUAACCUUCCACUGGGCCAGACUCCACGCGACCGCGCACAACUGUGAAAUAGAGAUCAGCAUUUGAAUCAUCGUGAUUCUACGCAUCGCACAACCAUGCAUUCAUGCGUCCUUCUCUACGUCACAUCACCCCUCUUCUUUGCAAUUUUUCUUUGAGCUUUUUAAUCUCCCUCAACCUGUUAACCCUUAUCAUGCAAGUUGCGCGACAUAAGUCUUCGUGCAAACUGCGCAAUAUCGCAAUAUCGGGGAUGGAUCUUUGUAGGCAAGGAUGCAUUUAUUUUUUCAAAGAUUGGGAGGACAAUUUUGGCGUGAAAUAAAGAUUCAUCAAUCGCGAAGUUUGACAGAUCAGUUUUAAGCCAAAAAUUCGUGUGCUUUAAGUUGGAGUAUUGUUAGGUAUUGCUGUAGAUUUAGAAAAAAAAUCACGCAGAUUUCGGGAUUUUUAUUUUAAUAUAAAAAAAUUGCUUCCUUUUAACUUGCAUGACAAAAAAUAAUUUGAUUUCCAAGAAGAGUGAAUCUAGCGCAAUCUGAUAAAGCAUAGAUGUAUUAAUAAAAUCUGAAAAAUUUACGAAAAUCGCGCCGAAAAUGAGUCUUCUGUAGGGAACAUAGUAUAUAAGCUGUUUAGCCAAAACAACCUCGGCGCGCCACCUUAAACGCUAUAAAAGCGUUUGAUGGUCUUCGAGUUACGUGCGCCUGGGGUCACGAGUGUCAGCGGAUUCUCGGAUUACCUAACAGGUGUUGUAAGGAUAGAUCUUCACUCUGCAAAUGACCCCAGACUUCGCAUACAGUGUUUUUUUUUUUUAAGUUCUAAUAUCAAUGAGUGAAUAGAGACUAAUCCCUGAAAAGGUUGUAAGUUUUCGUUUUGACCCUAACACAGUCGCGCAAAAUGUAAAAACAACAUUACUUUGCUAUAAAAAAACUCAAUAUACACAUGUUCACGCCUACAAAUUCGUGGCUAUUAGAUGUAAUUUUGUCACUUUUCGUUGUUAUCCUUUUUUCUACUGUAAGUGUAGUAAUAAAAUACAAAUGUAAAAUCCCCAAUAUAUUGGUGAAACACAUGAUUUAUUCGUGAACAUAGAACUAGUUUCAGAGUCGUAUUUCUGUGCUAAAUUUCGCCGUCAAAUCGUAAAGGUCAUAAGCGCGAUAAGCUCUGCACCGUAGCAAAACAUUAGUAUGGGACAGUAGCGAGUAUAAUGAAAAACGAGACAGUUAUGGAACCAGAAAUAAAUGUAUAAUCUAGUAUACAUCUCUGAGUAGAACCAGACGUUUUGCCUCGGUUAUAGUUGUAAAGUCUAGUUAGACUGAUUUUACCUCGAUCAAUUACUAAAUAAAAUGCUUUUCUCUUACCAAAGUCUGCUUGGCAGAACUUGUCCUGUGGGUGACUUCCCAUUUUACAAACGCACGCUUUGCCUUCAGUCAGGGCAGCGAAGACCAAGAGGACUGUCAAACCUAAAGCCAUGUUUGACAAUUCCCCAGGUCCGGCUAUCGCGCAAAGAGCUCGUCUGAUACCUGUCUUAGCCCAUAGGGAGUGGCGAAUUGCGGUACUUAAAGAAUAUUCUCGCAAAUGAUCCUCUUCUCAAAGUGUCGAUAGAUUAAGCGCGGAAUUCGUUCUAACUUAGCGUUGAAUGCAAUAGUUGUUUUCCUCGUGUGUUCAAUGAAUGACAAACCACUACCAUGUUAAUGGACACAAGACGAAAAAUCCACCGUUAUGUUAUAUCAUUUUAGAGAGUCCGACUCAUCUUAUGUGUGACCCAACACAGUCUCAAGAGGAGUAAAAAAAUGUGACUUCUACGAACGUGUCGUGUCUGUACUCCAAUAACACCGCAUGCUCAAUACGCCGAACCGGCUUUCGACCUUGUUGACAUGCAUUAGCCCCAAAUUUUUAACAAGCUUAAAUAGAAUAUAGCUUCUAUCUGGCGCGUGCGUUUUCGUGUAGGUUUCACAAUUUUCGUCAAGUUCUCCCUAUCAUUUUGGCGGCCACUUUUGUAAAAUUCAUGAUAAUGUUUUUAUACCAGGCCCCCUCCCUACCCCCCUUCUUCUUUUCCCUGCCCCCCCUUUGCUCCCCCGCUAAUUAUGCGAGUCCAUCCUAAAGUGGAAAGAAUGCUCAGUGAACGAGGUAAUAUAUAGUCAAGAGAAACGAACAAUAGUUCGAAUUCACGGGGAUUUCUGAGUUGAAAAUGACUGAGAAAUACAAAUUUCUAAAGGUUAUAUAGAGAAUUUCAACAUCAUAGAGACGAACGUAAUCCUUUAGAAAUUAUUAAAUUAUUUGCGAAUGAUUUUGAUAAGUUUGGAAGGGUCGCGUUUUGCUGCACGCGAAUUCGGCUUUUACCAUUUUGAAUUCAUUCUUUUGUGUCGGGUUCAUGUUGAACAAAACCACGCUCAGUGAACGCACGUAUAUGACCUGGGAAUGGGUGGAAGCUUUUCCGUUGCCAAUUUGCCGCCGGACAUGUAACAUGUACGCAUUUUCACCACGCAGCGGCAAAAGAUGUACGACACAUGUUUCAGUUUUUCACCUGACGAAAGCUUCACUUCAACCAUUGAUAGCCUGGUGACUACUACGGCCAUCUUCCCGUAGGGCACCCCUUAUAACACUAAAAGGUAGUGGGGGAGGGGGGGGUGAAGGUGAUCGUCGGCAAAAUCAAUUUUAACCCUAAGGGAUGGCACUUUGGGCGUGGUCAACAGACUUUCUUACCCCUCAGAGAUAGCAAAUUUGGUGUGGCAAAAGGAUUUUUUUUGCCCUAGUAGCAGAAUCGGAAAAAAACGUUAUAAACACCCCCUCAGGAAUAGCAAUUUUAUACCCUAAGAGAUAACAGAAUCGGAAAAAUCCUUCAACACCCCCUAAGGGAUGGCAGUUGGUCGAAAUUUUAUACCCUAAAAGAUGGGACGAUCACCCCCAUCUUCUUUUCUGGAGAGUCCCCCCCCCCGGGUUUUCUGACAGAUCCGGGUUUGGCACCGAAAAAUACUCUUUUAUUAAGCCCUCUCUCCAAGCACCCUAUAGAACCAAAAUGUUCAAAUAAGCCUUCUAAAGGUUGCACUUUGAGAAUUAGCAGUAGUCACCCGCGGUGCUUCAUGGGUAUCAAACAAAUGGACCAACAGGCGUCAAUAAAAACGUCAAUAAAAAGGGCAGGCGAAACCACAGGCGAUGACCAAAAAACUCAGUCGUUAUAUACCAUUUUUCUAUACCUAUGGGGCUCCGCGCGCGGCCUACGGCCGCCCUGGCUCCGCUAUUAACACUCGAUAUGCCUGUGGAGCAGGAUAUUAAAGCAUUUUUGUGUGCCUGUAAACUACAGUUUUCACAGAGCAGGAUUUAGACAUUUAUGGCGGAGCCAGCGCGGCCGCAGGCCUCGCGCGGAGCUCCAUAGGUAUAGAAAUAUGGUAUAGCUAUGCGACUUGGUUUUGUGGUCGUCGCGCGGUUACCCUGUGGUGUCACAAUCCAUCCAUCCAUCCAUCCAUCCAUCCAUCCAUCCAGUCAAUCAUGCAACUCCCAGACCCCACUCGAUCUUACGCUGUUGUGUGUUUUUUACCGCCUCGCUUUGUGCUGCAAAGUUCGUAUGUUCACAGAAGAAAGGCAGCUUGAAAAUAGUAUUUAAUGAGAAAAUAAGCGGAUUCAAAUCGGCUGAAGUUUUUGAGGAAACGUUUUGUCUGAAGUACGAGCCGAUGGAAAAUCCCGCCCGUGGCAGCAGCAGCAGCUAAAUUGAGGACGAAGAGGAGAGGCUCUACACAACCAUUCUAUAUUAAUUCACGUCUAUAUCUAUGCAAGGAGUGCCUGAGAGGAUUUGGAUUGAUGUCUGUUUUCAGCUAUAAAAAGCAUUCACUUGUGUUGACGAAUUCCUUGCUAGCAGAAAGAUAACGGUUUACAACAAAAAGCGAACACAACCUCUAGGCGACAAACAUAAUCGACCAAAAAAAACACAAUGCCAAGAAGAGUUUUUGACGAUGGU